UCUUGGACCAAAGAUUAAUCAUCUAGGUAGAGAGAAUUCAUUGUUGUUUCAUCUCCUUUUUCUUAUACGAUAAGAAAGAAAUUUGGGUUUGCAAUGGAUCUCCAUGCUCAACAACAUGCACCAACCUUGGGAUGUUUUACUUCCAAUCUUAUAGAGUUUCUGAUGGAGCUUGCUCUAAGUCUCGGUUGACAACUCCGAUUGUAUGCAUUCACACAGUCAAUUGAUAAUGAAGUAUUUGUAGUUACAUUUUCUAGGUUGGUGAUCUCUUCUGAUAUGAUAAACUUAUGAUAUGGGUGACAAAGUUUUUCACCUUUCCUCUAGCCCUGGAAAGAACGUACGUAUAAGAGUGAGAUUUCAAGAAUGGCUAUCAUUUCCUUGGAGUUGAUUUAUAAGGCAUGUAUCGAGUUUUCACGACCAAUAUGAAUUACUUUUUUACUUUUAUUAUUUUGAGUUGUUGAGAAUUUACUUUUACGCAAAAACUUAUAGAAAAAAAGAAUCAAUCUGAUAAUCCUUUGUGACUUCUACAUGUUAUUUUC